rnacentral:rRNA from 1 species
UGGGGAAUUUGGACAAUGGGCGAAAGCCUGAUCCAGCAAUGCCGCGUGUGUGAAGAAGGCCUUCGGGUUGUAAAGCACUUUUGUCCGGAAAGAAAUCCUUGGCUCUAAUACAGUCGGGGGAUGACGGUACCGGAAGAAUAAGCACCGGCUAACUACGUGCCAGCAGCCGCGGUAAUACGUAGGGUGCAAGCGUUAAUCGGAAUUACUGGGCGUAAAGCGUGCGCAGGCGGUUUGCUAAGACCGAUGUGAAAUCCCCGGGCUCAACCUGGGAACUGCAUUGGUGACUGGCAGGCUAGAGUAUGGCAGAGGGGGGUAGAAUUCCACGUGUAGCAGUGAAAUGCGUAGAGAUGUGGAGGAAUACCGAUGGCGAAGGCAGCCCCCUGGGCCAAUACUGACGCUCAUGCACGAAAGCGUGGGGAGCAAACAGGAUUAGAUACCCUGGUAGUCCACGCCCUAAACGAUGUCAACUAGUUGUUGGGGAUUCAUUUCCUUAGUAACGUAGCUAACGCGUGAAGUUGACCGCCUGGGGAGUACGUCGCAAGAUUAAAACUCAAAGAAUUGACGGGGUCAUAGCUGUUUCCU